UUUAAAUACAGCAGUGGAUAUCCGUGUUCCAUGUUUGAUUGUCUUUUUUAUUUAAAAAAUUUAUGAAAAAAUUAAAAAAAUAAUUAAACAUAAAGUACUAUUCAUGUUUUAUCAUCCAAUAACAAUGAAAAUACUAAUCAUAAUUUUUUUAAAUAAAACGAACGAUCAAACAUUAGACACACUACACUGGAUAUGGUCACG
rfam:Oryza punctata chromosome 6, whole genome shotgun sequence.